AUGAAUAUUUUAAAGUAAUGUUUAAUAUUUGAGAAAAUCAUUUUGAGACGG
rnacentral:antisense_RNA from 1 species